rnacentral:rRNA from 1 species
AAUCAACGCUGGCGGCGUGCCUAACACAUGCAAGUCGAACGCGAAAGUUCCGCAAGGGAUGAGUAGAGUGGCAAACGGGUGAGUAACACGUGGGUGACCUGCCUUCGAGUGGGGGAUAACGUCCCGAAAGGGACGCUAAUACCGCAUAACAUCCUGCCUUUGAAGAGGUGGUGAGACAAAGGCCGGGGAUCGCAAGACCUGGCGCUGGAAGACGGGGCCCGCGUCCGAUUAGCUAGUUGGGNGGGGUAACGGCUCACCAAGGCGACGAUCGGUAGCCGGCCUAAGAGGGCGGACGGCCACACUGGGACUGAGACACGGCCCAGACUCCUACGGGAGGCAGCAGUGGGGAAUUGUUCGCAAUGGGCGCAAGCCUGACGACGCAACGCCGCGUGGAGGAUGAAGACCU